rnacentral:rRNA from 1 species
AUACGUAGGGGGCGAGCGUUGUCCGGAAUGAUUGGGCGUAAAGGGCGCGUAGGCGGCCCGGUAAGUCUGGAGUGAAAGUCCUGCUUUUAAGGUGGGAAUUGCUUUGGAUACUGUCGGGCUUGAGUGCAGGAGAGGUAAGUGGAAUUCCCAGUGUAGCGGUGAAAUGCGUAGAGAUUGGGAGGAACACCAGUGGCGAAAGCGAGCUGCGGGGCCGAAACGGACACUGAGAGGCGAAAGUGAGGGGAGCGAAUGAGAUUAGAUACCCCAGAAGUCCUAGCCGUAAACGAUGGAUACUAGGCGCUGUGCGUAUCGACCCGUGCAGUGCUGUAGCUAACGCGUUAAGUAUCCCGCCUGGGGAGUACGUUCGCAAGAAUGAAACUCAAAUGAAUUGACGGGG